GAUGAGAAAACAAGAAGCCUGCAGAGGCUGGGCAAUUUGCAGGUGGCAGAGAAAGGAUACAGAGCUGGGAUUGUUUGGCCUUAAUAGCAACAACAACAAUGGACUCUUAACACUUUUAGCUAUUACAUGGCACCACUGAAGUGCUUUAUGCACAUGAACACACCUAAUUCUCUUACCAACGCAGUGAAGAAGGUGUCAGGAAUACCCCCAUUCUAAAAAUGGGGAAACCAAGGAACGGAGACGUGUAGCAACUUGACCAAGGCCACAAAACUCAUAAGCAACAGUGCUGAGAUGUGAACCCCAACAGGUAACUUAAACCCAAUUAUAAAUGGCUUUGGCUAUAAAGUGUUCUUGAAUGAAAACGUUUAGGAAGUAGGCCUGGAUUCAGAUGCUUCAGAGGCUCAAAGGUUUUCUAAUUGUUUAUGGAGAAGAUUGAUCUUCACAAGCUAGUUUUUUCAUAGGCAAAAGCAAAAGUCUCUUCCUGUGUUAUUAAGUGAAAAUGGCUGAUUAUAAAAAGGGGCUUACAAACAAUAUUUAACAAAUCUUCAUCAAGUCCCUACUCUGUGGCAGGCCCUGGGUCAGGAGGUUGCCGAUUCCAGGAAGAAUCAGACCUUAUCCCUGCCCUUGAGUCUCAAGAAGAGGAAAGGAAAACAAAUAAGCAUAGUACAGUGUGAAAAGUGGGACUGUGGUCAAAUUUCAGUCUGCAAACUCAGAAUGGAUGAAAUAUGAAAGACUGACAACAUCAAGUUGUCAAGUAGGACAGGAUGUGGAACCACUGGAACUCAUACGUGACUGAUGGGAAUGCAAAAUGAUACCGAUCCCUUGGAAAACUCCUUGGCAACUUUAAUAAACAUAAAUCUACCCUAUGAUCCAGAAAUUCCACUCUGAGUCACGUCUCCAAGAGCAAUGAAAAUAUAUACCCACAAAAGACUGCACAUAAAUCAGAACAGCAUUGUUGAUAAUAGCCCAAACUGGAAACAACCUAAAUAUUCACCAAUAGAAGCCUGAAUAAAUUCAUACUGUGGGAUACUCUACAGCAAUGAGAUCAUGAAAGAUAGUGUGGCUUCCACUUUGGUCUCUUAUAUCACCUACUGGGGGAAGCCAGCUGCCAUGUUGUGAGGACACUCAAGAAGCUCUGUGGAGAGGCUCUUUUGAAGGAGAACCAAUGCCUCCCACCAACAGCCAGCAUCAACUUGGGACAUGUGAGUGAACCAAUUGGAAGUGGAUCCUCCAGCCAAGUCAAGCCUUCAGAUGACUGAAGCCCCAGCCUCAUGAGAGAUAGCAGGCUAAAACUGCCCAGCUAAGCUGCUCCUGAAAUCCUGACCCCCCAAAUUAUAAAAGACAAUAAAUUAUUAUUGUUGUUUUAAGCCACUACAUGUUGGGGUGAUUCAUUAUGCAGCAACAGAUAAUAAAUACAUCACCCUUGUAUUCAUUACUGACGUUUAUUGGGAGCAUAGUGUGUGAUUUUUCAUUUAACCCUUCCAGUAAUGCUGUGAGAUAGGUAAGUUUAUUAUCCCCAUUUUACAGACAAAGAAACUGAGGUUCAGAAUGAGUGAAGUCUCUUCCCUGCAGAGUCCCUGACCUUAAGGAUUUUAUGGUCAGAUCUGAGAGACAGAAGCUCAAAAACCUAUGACUCUAGGCAAAAUAUGGCCCUGGGAUCCCAGGAUGGGGAGAGGAAUUUUGGAUUCUGGCUUCUACUUGGGCCUCAUAGCUUGGGAUGACAGAGGGUACACUCCAAAGGCAACAAACACCUUCCCUGCCCUUGAGCACCUGCUUAAUCAAGGGGAGAAAGUUCAGAUGCUUAUGCAUAAUGUGUGGUAUUUCUCUGCACAGAAACACACACGGGCCUGUACAGUAAUAAUGAAAAGCAACAACCCAUCUUAAGGGCUUGGCACUUUGCACUUACAAAGCCUUAUACAUCCCUAAUUCCAUGGAAUCACACCUGGCAGGUAAGCGUGGCCCUGUACACUUUACAGAUGGGGACACUGAGGUCAGGGAAGUUGUGUGAUUCUUGCAGAGCCAAGCAGCCUAGAAGUGGCAGAGUUCAGGUAAAACCCAGUAACUGGGUGUUUUACAAGUGCUAAGGGUAUGACAGGAGGUAGGCAGGGCUCCUCUGAGGGAGGUUUCAGGAAGAGGUCACCCGCGAGCAGGGUUCUGAGAAUGGGGAAGUGGCUUCGGGGAGAGGAUGGUGCCUGGGAGGGUUUGAGAGGAAACAGAGUGAGUCCCUAGGGGCUCCCAGGGUGUACGAGGGCAAAGAGGUGAACAUAGCUGGAGUGGAAAGAAUGAGAAAGCCUGGGUGUGUGGAAGAGCCUUGGUGUGUUAGGUGGAAUUGCAGCUGGAGGGUGUGUGCAGAAUGAGAGGUCUUGGUAUUGGGGCCAAAGUCAACUGCCACGCCUAAGGAGGGAGGAAGGCGCUUAUUUUGCUUCUUGGGUGAAAAUCAUUCCUGUGAUUUAGUUCUCCUUGGGGGAGGGGCGGGGUUUCAUCCAGCCUUAGCAAAUGCAUUCAAUCUUCACUACUUCUCUCUGUCAGAUGGGGUGGAUAGAGGUCCAAAUGUGGGCAGAAGCUUUUAUGUCCCAUCGCAGGGCAGCUAAGAACAGCUGCGCGGGUCGUUCACUGUACAUGGGCACUAGGCCAAAAGGGACUGAAAUCCGGACGGCCCUUUGUUUACUAAGCCAUGUGCCUGCAAGGCUGCACCUGCCCAGAAGGAAUGCUUCCUAUUUCUUUUCUUUAAAAAAAAAUUUUUUUUAUGAGCUAAAAUUCACAUAACAUAGAAUCUACCAUUUAAACCACUUUAAAGUAUAAAGUUCAGUGCUUUUAGUAUAGUCACAAUGUUGUGCAACCAUCACCACUAGCAGUUUUCGGAACAUUUCCAUCAUCCCAAAAAACAACUCCAUAACUCCUAAUUCCCCCCCUUUCCCCAUCUCUUGGCGACCAUGAAUCUGAACUUUCAUAUGAAUGGAGUUCUAUAAUUUGCUGUCUUCUGUGACUGUCUUCUUUCAUUUGGCAUUAAAACUUUUCAAGUUUUACCCAUGUUGUGGUAUGUGUCUGUACUUCAUUCCUUUUUAUGGCUCGAUAAUAUCGCAUUGUGUGAAUAUUCCACAAUUUGUGUAUCCCUUCAUGAGUUGAUGGACAUAUGGGUUAUAUCCACUGGCUGUUAAGAACAGGCGGGUCACGGUGGCUCACGCCUGAAAUCCCAGCACUUUGGGAGGCUGAGGUGGGCGGAUCACCUGAGGUCAGGAGUUCUAGAUCAGCUUUGCCAACACGGUGAAACCUUGUCUCUACCAAAUAUAUAAAAAUU
rnacentral:lncRNA from 10 species